rnacentral:lncRNA from 1 species
GAAACUCAAACCUCAAUCUCCGACUCAUUUUCGAGUGGUUGAAAUUGUUUUUCGAGAGAAGAAGAAGAGAUCCUUAUCUUAUCCUCAGCCCUCGCGAGAACACCGUGUCUGGUCAACCUCGUCCCUCUACACCAGAGACUUUUGAAAAUGAGACAUCUUGAGGCAAUCGAAUUGAGAGAGAUAUAGAGGAUGAAGUCGUGACGGCGUCUCUUCGUAUAUUUUACGUAUAUAAUAUACAUGUUAUACCAUUUUUACAGAAAUAUAACUUGGACGAGUGGUUUGUUCGUUUGUCGUAGGGAUUGCCAUUAUUCGGGUUUGAAUCCCCCAGAGAGA